rnacentral:lncRNA from 1 species
AGAUGGAGGAAUCAUCGCUGCAAUUGUUGUGGGCGUCUUAGCUGCCAUUGCAGUAAUUGCUGGUGGUGUAUACUUUUUUCAUCAUAAAUACAACAAGAAAAGGUCGAAGUAAAACUGAUGUGCUUAAAGUAAAAGUUGCUGAGAGGGAAAAGAGAGAUUAGUGCUUCAUACAGCACCUACCAGGAUAAAGCAGCCGCUCCAGCAGAAUAGACGGACUAAAUGACUUCCACAAACCCUUGAAAAUUAAGGAAAUCUCAGCAUUUGAGAGAAAGACCUUGAGGAGCUAGGGCCUCCUUUUUUCAUAUGGAAAAGACAAGUUCUGUAUGACCUCACAUGUAGAAUCAAAAACAUUUUUCUAUGGCAAAGGAGAUUGGCUUGAAGGGGUGGGGGCGGGGGAGGGGGUGGUUGGGGAAGGAUUGAGUGAAGGCGGGCAGAAGGCAUAUACCUUUUAUACUUUUUCACCUGUAAGAUAAACAGGGACUGUACAGCUUAGUGACUCCAGUUUGCGAGUAAUACUGUAUAUUGGCCGGUUGCUAGGACAGCAGAUAUUUAAAUCUGUAAUCAGCUAGAAGAAAACCAGGUCUGUGUAGGUCUGUGCAGUGAUGGAUGGUAACUAAACUUUAAUUGUGAUCAUUUUACAAUAAGACAUUAUCAAAUCCUGCUGUACAGCUGAAGCUUACGCAAUGCUGUAUGUCAAACAUGUCUCAGUACUGAAAGAAAAAAAAUCGGUAACAAUUAUUUCCUGGCUUCUGACAGUAUCAGGAGUAGAACCGCUAAACCGUAAUGCUAACAUUUUACUGGGGCUGGAGUGUGGUCACCACCCUUUGUGCUUCUUUGAGACGUGUAUGAGUUUAGGUUUGAACCUCUUGUUUUCCGUCAAGUGACACUUGUAUUUGCAGGGCAAGCCAACACAGUAUCCCCGGGUGUUAGGGUGGGCAAAUAUUGCUUCUCUGCAAUCUUUGAACUCAGAGAAAUGGCAUUCAAGAUGAUGAUAUUUACAUUUCAUUUGUAAAGAAAGCGAUGUUGAAAAUUUUUCUGUUCAAAGGUUCACGCCAACCCUUUAGGUUCAUUCAUCUACAGUCCUAAAAAUGUCUUUUACGUAUGUGUGCACACUUUUUUUUACAAAUGUGUGUGUGCACUGCUUCAGCCCUUAGUAAAAGUAAGAAUACUGAACACUGAGAAUUUAAACACAUUUGUCUUCCUAAUAAUGAUUAUCGGAAAAUACUCUUAAAGUUAAUGGGGUAAAACUGUAUUUUAAAAAGUUAUUUGUAUCUUCUUGGCGACUGAGAGAAGCUAUAAAGUGUAUACAUGGCAGUCACCCUUUUCAAUAGCAGGAAGGCAGUCUCAAGUAAUCAAAAAGAACUCAGCAUCCGUUCCAGGCUUCUAGAAACAGUUGGAGGGCCCUAACACCCACAGCAAGAGUGCCGGCCGAGUCCAAAGCGGCCUCCAGUUCUCCUCAAGAGAAUCCCACUCUAGAGGAUGAGAAAUCCACUCUAAAUUCUGGCCAUCGGUGGCCUUCCCUCCCAACUUGAAUAGGCGUCUCGUAGGGAAAACGUGUCACCCACAGGUAGGCAGUUAAUGUAGAGAAAGUUCAUCAGAGCAGGUCACGUCGCCGCGUCCGUAAAGCACAGAGUGAAGAUGAAGCCACGUGUUUCAGAAGAGCAAACUUACCUCUGCGGCUCCCCUGCCGCCCAUGCAAAGGGAGGAAAAGCGCCAACAGCCCAGGUGGCCCUUGAUGUUCAGGUGACACAGAUCCCGGCCCUCUCCUCUGUCCUCACACCUGGCAGGGACUCUUUCCAAAGAGCCAGAGGCCGAAGAGGAUGGCCUGCCCUUCCAAUUCAGCUAAAACUCUUGCAUCUACGCUUUUAUACUUGGUAGCUCAGGUUGGGCCAGAGAAGCGUUGCCUCGAGAGAGGAAUGAGGAAUCAAGCGUGGAACCGGGGGAAAUGAUGUGACCCUCUAAGGACGUGUUUCUAAGACGCUGUAAGUGCUGCUUCUCUUUGCAAGGAUUCUGCAGUAACCAUCAAGUAGAAGUUUGGACCUGCUUUCACAUACUUUUCAAGGAGGUAGCACUUUCUUGGAAGCAAGGGAUGUCGCUGUCGUUCUUAUUUCUUCAAAACCCUUCAAGGAGUGUUUGCAACCAAAGACGUGCGCUUACCAAAACAGACUUUCGUAGUUUCCACUUCAGAUUCAGUCUUUCCACUUUAAUAUAUUUAUAUGUGAGACUGAAAUGGGUGUGUAAGUAUAUAUGUUCUGUUUGUCAAAGCAUUUGUCACUUACCGAAACAUAUGGGGAAACCCCUGCUCUCUAGAAAUGUGAGAGGGAAAAAAGUGUAUUUGAAUUUAAAGCGCUUGUAAACCUGCAGGAAUAUAUUCGUACUAGAUGGAUACGUGCUGUGUAUUAUUGUUCAUUUUGUGAAAGUUGUAUCUUCUCACCUGCUAUAAAAGAUGUACUUUCAG